rnacentral:rRNA from 1 species
UACAGAGGGUGCGAGCGUUAAUCGGAAUUACUGGGCGUAAAGCGUGCGUAGACGGUUAUCUAAGUCGGGUGUGAAAGCCCCGGGCUCAACCUGGGAAUUGCAUUCGAUACUGGAUAGCUAGAGUUCGGCAGAGGGAAGUGGAAUUUCCGGUGUAGCGGUGAAAUGCGUAGAUAUCGGAAGGAACAUCAGUGGCGAAAGCGACUUCCUGGACCAGAACUGACGUUCAGGCACGAAAGCGUGGGGAGCAAACAGG